rnacentral:misc_RNA from 1 species
GUUUGUUGUCGGAAAAAAAAGAGAUUACGUUUAGACCUUACAUAAUCAGUUGUUAAAAAUGAUUAAAAGCUUCAGGUAAACUUCAAUAAUAAAACGACAAGAUGGAAUUGAAUGAACAUGAACACGAGAGGAAAAACAAAUUUAGAAAUUGUGUUGAAAAAUAUGAAAUAUUUUUUGAAAACUGUUUUGAACGAUUAGGAAUUGCCAUUAGUGGCUAUCCCAUCCUAAUAAUGAGUUUAUGUAUUGUAAUCAACGGAGCGCUGAUGUCGGGCUUUAUUCUUAUAAAAAGCGAAAACGAUGUUGAAGUUCUGUACACCCCUCAAAAUAGCCAAUCAUUUCAAGACCGUUCGUUUCUAAGACACAACUACCCGGACCCAACUAUUAAAGAUUUUCUCCCCUAUCAACUUUCGGAUUUCGGUAAGUAUGCUGAAGUCAUCAUUUUAUCAAAAAACAGAACAAACAUCAAGUCCAAGGAGUAUUUUGAAGAAUUUAGAGAAAUAGCCAGGUUCAUCAAGGAAGCAGUAAUCAUUUCCGAAAACGGAACUCUAAAAAACUUUAAAGAUUUGUGCGCAGUUCAACUUGGAAAGUGCAGUGUCUUCGGCGAUGUGGUCCUUUCAUUACAAUUUGAGCAUGACUUUCUUUUAGACAAAAUCACUUAUCCAAAUUACAAUCAGUCGCUCCUCUCGUCGAUACUAGCUAACUCAAAAUCAAAGAAUGGGAUUCUGGUAUCUACAACAGGAGUUAAACUUCGUUUCUAUCUACAAAAUAAGUCUUCGUCGGUGAGAUGGGAAUUAGAUUUUCUCACACAAAUUGAAACAUUAAAGACCAAUUAUACAGAAAUUUCAUAUUCAACUUCAGACUCUCUAGGCAAAGAACUUGAAAAGAAUACAAAUGGAGACAUUCAGUUUUUUUCCCUGACAUUUACUUUAAUGCUGACUUACGCUUCGUUUGCUUGUGCAUCAUCGUUUAUAAAAUGCAACAACAUUGGAAAUAGACUUAUGCUUGGAUUCGCUGGAAUACUUGCACCUGUUCUUGCUAUUGGAUCAGCCAUUGGAUUUGUUAGUAUAAUCGGGGUGGAAUUUACAAGCAUUGUUGGUGUAAUGCCAUUCCUGGUCGUCGGUAUUGGUAUCGACGACAUGUUUAUACUCAUGUCUGGAAUUGCGGAGGCCCCAUCUUUAACGACCGCUUCAAUAGAAGACAGGAUAAAAUUUAUGAUGAAAAAAAGCGGAGUGGCCAUAACAAUUACAUCAUUAACUGACUUGCUUGCAUUCACUGUAGGAGCAACGUCUGUCUUUGUCAGCAUUAGAUUAUUUUGCAUAUAUACAGGUGUUGCAGUUUUCUUUUGUUAUCUAAACCAGUUGUUCUUUUUCUGCCCUGCAAUAUGUUUGAAUGAGAAGAGGACUGAACAGAAAAGACAUUUUCUAUGCUGCGUAAAAGUUAAAGAUGAUAAAUACAAUUCGAGAAUACACCAGUGUCUUUUCUCUGGUUUUAUUCCAAACAAAAGAGAUGAUGUUGAAAGUGAUCUGGAGAAAUAUCCUAAAUGGUUUAUCAUCUACGGCUUCCUGGAACCUUUUUUAGGAAAAGUGUUUAUUUUAUUAAUGUCGAUGGCUUAUACAGGUUUUUCCAUUUUUGGUGCAAUUCAUCAAGAACAAGGCCUUAUGUUAUACAACUUGGUGUCUGAGGACUCGUACUUCCACAAACACAGUCACUGGGAUGAACAUUUUUUCAAAUCAGAGCCAAUCAUUGCAUUUUGUAUUAAAGGAGAUCUUAAUUACUCGUCUCCAGUCACGCAAAAUAUCAUAACGUCUGUUUUGGAAAAGGCUAAACAAAACCAAUAUAUUGACCCAACAUUCGAAAUAAAUUGGCUGGAAUCAUACAAAAAUACAACAAAUUACAACGCAAGUUCCGAGAAAAAAUUUGUAAAAGUACGUUCAAAUAUGGCCAAGUACACUUCAGACUGUUGGAGUUGCACUAGGAGUGAUGGUUGUUGUGACAAUAGUGUUCAUGCCGUAUCCAUUCAUGGUAUUUGUCGUAACCACGACACUGGUUAGCAUCCUUUUAGGCAUAUUCGGGUUUAUGUAUUACUGGGGUCUGACUUUAAGUUCGAUCACUAUGAUUCACUUAGUUAUGUCUAUUGGGUUUUCUGUUGAUUUCAGUGUCCACAUUUGUCACGCUUUUCUAGCAGUCAAAACUGAAAAACGUGACGAUGCUCUCAAAAAAGCAUUCGAUUUGGUCGGGGGUCCAAUUCUAAACGCUGCAAUUUCCUCUCUAUUGGGCAUAUCAAUGCUUGGGUUUUCAAAGAGUUAUAUUUUCCAGUCUUUUGGGAAGGUAAUGUUUUUGGUAAUUGUGUUUGGGUUAUUCCAUGCGGCAUUCGUUUUGCCUUUAAUACUCUGGGCACUUUUCCCUUGCUAUUCAACAGAACAAUCAAAACCUGAACACAAUUCAGUUUCAUCUCAACAGUAUUUGCAACUUAAUCGAACAUUAGAACAUUACAAGUCGAUUGAAAGCAUCAGCAACAGAUUAGGUUUACGCCAUGUUUCAUGUUACCCUAAUGAAAAAUUAUCAUC